UACGGAGGAUGCGAGCGUUAUCCGGAUUUAUUGGGUUUAAAGGGUGCGCAGGCGGUACGGAAAGUCAGCGGUAAAAUGUCGGUGCUCAACGCCGGCCGGCCGUUGAAACUGACGGUCUUGAGUUGGCGAGAAGUACGCGGAAUGCGCGGUGUAGCGGUGAAAUGCAUAGAUAUCGCGCAGAACUCCGAUUGCGAAGGCAGCGUACCGUAGCGUUACUGACGCUGAGGCUCGAAGGUGCGGGUAUCGAACAGG
rnacentral:rRNA from 1 species